ACUCCUACGGGAGGCAGCAGUGGGGAAUAUUGCACAAUGGGCGCAAGCCUGAUGCAGCAACGCCGUGUGAGUGAAGAAGGUUUUCGGAUCGUAAACUCUGUCCUAAGGGAAGAAACAAAUGACGGUACCUUAGGAGGAAGCCCCGGCUAACUACGUGCCAGCAGCCGCGGUAAUACGUAGGGGGCAAGCGUUAUCCGGAAUCACUGGGCGUAAAGGGUGCGUAGGCGGCUUAGCAAGCCAGGGUGAAAGGCAUUGGCUCAACCAAUGUAAGCCUUUGGAACUGUUAAAGCUUGAGUGCAGGAGAGGUAAGUGGAAUUCCUAGUGUAGAGGUGAAAUUCGUAGAUAUUAGGAGGAACACCAGUGGCGAAGGCGACUUACUGGACUGUAACUGACGCUGAU
rnacentral:rRNA from 1 species